AAGCUGACGCGUGCAGCCGGUUCGCCCCGUCCGCCAGGCGGGGGCGUCGCAAGAGGGAACCCGGUGGGAAUCCGGGACUGCCCCGCAGCGGUGAGCGGGAACGACCGCCGUCAUGAGCACUGGGCCCGAGUACGGAGGGCCUGGGAAGCGACGGCCAGUAGGAGUCUCCCAUGUCAGGGGGACGCGCCCGCGAGUCCGAAGACCUGCCGGCCGCCCGUGCGCGAA
rnacentral:ncRNA from 2 species